AGAGUUUGAUUCUGGCUCAGGAUGAACGCUGGCGGCGUGCCUAACACAUGCAAGUCGAGCGGUAUAUGAAUGAAACUUCGGUCGAAUAAAUAGAGAGCGGCGGACGGGUGAGUAACGCGUAGGCAACCUGCCCCAUACAGAGGGAUAGCCUCGGGAAACCGGGAUUAAAACCUCAUAACGCAGAGAGUUCACAUGGACUAUCUGCCAAAGAUUCAUCGGUAUGGGAUGGGCCUGCGUCUGAUUAGCUAGUUGGUGAGGUAACGGCUCACCAAGGCGACGAUCAGUAGCCGACCUGAGAGGGUAAUCGGCCACAUUGGAACUGAGACACGGUCCAAACUCCUACGGGAGGCAGCAGUGGGGAAUAUUGCACAAUGGGCGAAAGCCUGAUGCAGCAACGCCGCGUGAGCGAUGAAGGCCUUUGGGUCGUAAAGCUCUGUCCUUGGGGAAGAAACAAAUGACGGUACCCUUGGAGGAAGCCCCGGCUAACUACGUGCCAGCAGCCGCGGUAAUACGUAGGGGGCGAGCGUUAUCCGGAAUUAUUGGGCGUAAAGAGUGCGUAGGUGGCCAUGUAAGCGCGGGGUGAAAGGCAAUAGCUUAACUAUUGUAAGCCUUGCGAACUGUAUGGCUUGAGUGCAGGAGAGGAAAGUGGAAUUCCUAGUGUAGCGGUGAAAUGCGUAGAUAUUAGGAGGAACACCAGUGGCGAAGGCGACUUUCUGGACUGUAACUGACACUGAGGCACGAAAGCGUGGGGAGCAAACAGGAUUAGAUACCCUGGUAGUCCACGCCGUAAACGAUGAGCACUAGGUGUCGGGGUCGCAAGACUUCGGUGCCGCAGUUAACGCAUUAAGUGCUCCGCCUGGGGAGUACGCACGCAAGUGUGAAACUCAAAGGAAUUGACGGGGACCCGCACAAGCAGCGGAGCAUGUGGUUUAAUUCGAAGCAACGCGAAGAACCUUACCAGGGCUUGACAUCCUCUGACAGUCCCUUAACCGGGACCUUCUUCGGACAGAGAGACAGGUGGUGCAUGGUUGUCGUCAGCUCGUGUCGUGAGAUGUUGGGUUAAGUCCCGCAACGAGCGCAACCCUUGUCUUUAGUUGCCAUCAUUUAGUUGGGCACUCUAGAGAGACUGCCGAGGAUAACUCGGAGGAAGGUGGGGAUGACGUCAAAUCAUCAUGCCCCUUAUGCCCUGGGCUACACACGUGCUACAAUGGCUGGUACAAAGAGACGCAAGACCGCGAGGUGGAGCAAAUCUCAAAAACCAGUCCCAGUUCGGAUUGCGGGCUGCAACUCGCCUGCAUGAAGUUGGAGUUGCUAGUAAUCGCAGAUCAGAAUGCUGCGGUGAAUGCGUUCCCGGGUCUUGCACACACC
rnacentral:rRNA from 1 species